CCAUAAGAAACCCCCAAUUUUGCCUGCGACGACGCCACGAAGAAAAAAAAAAAAAACCAAAAAAAAUCGAAAAUCCUUUUUUACAGGGGAGAGAGAAUCUAGAGAGAGAGAGAGAGAGAGAAAACAACUUAGAGAGAGAAAGCUUGACGAGAGUGAAGAAGGAGAGUAAUGGCGGAGGGGAGGAAGGAGAGGAGGCCGAGCAGCGAAGAGAGCGUGAAGCUGUUCGUCGGCCAAGUGCCCAAGCACAUGAACGAAGCUCAACUCCUCGCAAUGUUCCAAGAGUUCUCGCUCGUCGACGAGGUCAACAUCAUCAAGGACAAGACCACGCGCGCGUCUAGAGGGUGCUGCUUUGUGAUAUGUCCGUCGAGGGAGGAGGCAGAUAAGGCGGUCAAUGCAUGUCACAAUAAGAAGACCUUGCCCGGGGCAUCAAGUCCGUUGCAAGUGAAGUAUGCUGAUGGCGAGUUAGAAAGACUAGAACAUAAGCUCUUUGUCGGUAUGCUUCCAAAGAAUGUUUCCGAAGUUGAAGUAUCCGAUCUUUUCUCUAAAUACGGAACAGUAAAGGACCUACAGAUAUUAAGGGGUUCUCAGCAAACGAGCAAAGGCUGUGCAUUUUUAAAGUAUGAGACAAAAGAACAAGCACUUGCUGCCCUGGAAGCCAUUAAUGGAAAACACAAAAUGGAGGGUUCAAGUGUUCCUUUGGUUGUCAAAUGGGCAGACACAGAAAAGGAAAGGCUAGCUCGGAGAGCCCAAAAAGCUCAUUCACAGGCUGCUAAUGUGCCAAAUUCUGAUUCACAACCUCCAUCUUUAUUUGGAGCCUUGCCUAUGAGUUACGUUCCCUCAUAUAAUGGGUAUAGUUAUCAGGCUCCUGGAACAUAUGGCCUUAUGCCAUACCGCCUGCCAGCACUGCAAAAUCAACCAGGUUUCCAUAAUAUGAUACCCCCUGUAAAUCAAGGAAAUGCUUUACAUCGAAUUACACCCGACCUUCCUCCCAAUAUUGCCCCUAGAAAUUUUGCCAUGCGUCCAAGUUACCUGGGUUCUGGUUAUCCUGCGGUUCCAGGUCUUCAGCAUCCAAUGAUAUAUCCGGGAGGAAUGGUGAGUCACCGGCCAUUGAGCGCCUCACCUGGUUCAUUGUCGCCUCUAGUUGUGAACAGUAACCCAGCCACAUCCUUAGGCACCAGUAGAAGUUCCGGGGGUCAGGUUGAAGGUCCUCCUGGUGCUAAUUUAUUUAUCUACCACAUACCUCAAGAAUUUGGAGAUCAAGAGCUUGCUAAUGCUUUUCAAGCAUUUGGUAGGGUUUUGAGUGCCAAGGUUUUUGUUGAUAAAGCAACCGGUGUCAGCAAAUGUUUUGGAUUUGUAAGCUAUGAUUCACCAGAGGCUGCUCAAUCUGCUAUCGGUGUUAUGAAUGGAUACCAAUUAAGUGGUAAGAAAUUAAAGGUUCAGCUCAAGAGAGAUAACAAGCAGAACAAACCCUAUUAAUUUCAAGGUGAGUGAUGGAAGGACGCAAGUUCUUUAUAGCAAGUGGUCGCAUGCAAAUUGGAUGUAUGGAGUCGCUGCAUCAACCUUGUGGGAUGGAUUUAGAUGAUUUGCAAAGAUAUGGUUUAUUUCAUCCCGCUUGUAAUUUCCUCAAAGGAAUGAAAGGCCUGAAAACUUGUAAUUCAUGAAGUGUUUCCUGGGCUCAUUGGCGUCAUGAUGCAGGCUGCAUGUAGACCACUGCAUCUGUGGUCUCAGUUGUUGCUUCUUUUGGUUUGAACUAUCCGUGGGAUAUGAUGACACGACCAAACGAAAAGUUACCUGUUGAGAUUGUGCCUCAUUGUAGAGAGGAAAGUAGUUAAAACGCCUUUAUUGCAGUCUGCAUUGCAGCUGACAAAGGUAUGAUCCACAAACCUUAGAAACCCCAUUAAUUCCUUUGAGUUAACUUAAUGAGGCUUUUCAUUCUUCCUAUUCUUGAAACACAAGUGUUUAGUUUCUGUUAUUGAUACAUCUCUUUUAUGAUAAGUAUGUAUGUAGGGUGGGUUUUUUUUUUUGGGUAUCCUUUCAUGUGUAGUCUUUGAAUUUUUAUUUUUAUCUUCAUCCACCGAGUCAGUAGCUGUUGUGUCAUUUGAAAUCAUAGGUUGGCUUAUGUGUGGGGCACCUAUACUCUUCAAAUUUUGGCCUGAAAGUUUGGCAUAUCGCAUGUGUUUGAAUUUGAAAUUAUCAUCGUAAAAUGGGUGAAAAUCUGUCCCCACAGAUAGCAUGUUGUGAUUGGCCUACAAAAUUCUUGUUCAUAAGAGCACCGCUGAUGCCUUUUUUAUCGAUAUGCUCAUAUCUCAAAUGAGCACAUGUUGAAUGCUACUGAUGCCUCUAGUUGAAGGCUUCAUGUACUGAAAAAAUACAUAAUGACUUAUAACAACUCAGCAUUGAACAGUGUAGCUAGGGAAAGGAAAAAUGAGAAUAAUGGAAUAAUUAGGUCACUGGGAUUGAAUGGCUGAUUAGAAGUCGAAAAGUUUCCUAGGGUGAAAGUAUAUGCCAUAAGCUGGGAAUGACAACAGUUGUUCUCUCAGGAAAGAAAUAAUGUAGUUGAUGUUGAUAGUUUAGUCUUGCAUAUGAUUUUCAUUACGCCAUUGCUGUGCCAUAAGAGUAAUCGGCUAAAAUUACUUGCAAACUGGCACAUGUAGAUUUCAUUAUCAUUAUUGGGUACAUUAUAAGCUUUCUAGUGUUUGAACACUGCUAUUCUCAUAAGUUGAACACUGUGUCUCUCCUUGCAUCCCUUCCUCGUCGAUCUUCUGGGGAAAUUUUGAAAUAACAUGUAUGGAAAUCUAUUUUAUAGUGACUUUACUUUGAGAUCAACAGGUAUUCUGAAUUUCUUUGUAUCUAUCUCGGCAUGAUGCACUAUCCCUCCACAGCCUCUCGCUAACGCUUAAUGAUCUUUUAAGGACCAAGAAGAACUCUCAUACAUCAGUCGUGGGUGCUUGUUUCAUCCAUAUGUUCCAACUCUCUAAUAGUUUAAUCCAUAUGUUACCGACUCUGGCUCCUCUUGUGAGCAGAAGUUAUUGUGCUUGUCUGCUUGAUACAGCAAUAGUGCUUUUUAUUUAAUUUUGUUGAAAAAAAUUUGGUACUGUAUUCUUUGUAGUUUGGUGUUGAGUUAAGUUAUUCUAGU